CACGUAGGGUGCGAGCGUUGUCCGGAAUUAUUGGGCGUAAAGAGCUCGUAGGCGGUGUGUCGCGUCGGCCGUGAAAACCUGCAGCUUAACUGUGGGCUUGCGGUCGAUACGGGCAUCACUGGAGUUCGGCAGGGGAGACUGGAAUUCCUGGUGUAGCGGUGGAAUGCGUAGAUAUCGGGAGGAACACCAGUGGCGAAGGCGGUUGCCUGGAGCUUUGCUGACGCUGAGGCGCGAAAGCGUGGGGAGCGAUCCGG
rnacentral:rRNA from 1 species